GGCUCAGGACGAACGCUGGCGGCGUGCCUAAUACAUGCAAGUAGAACGCUGAGGACUGGUGCUUGCACUGGUCUAAGGAGUUGCGAACGGGUGAGUAACGCGUAGGUAACCUACCUCAUAGCGGGGGAUAACUAUUGGAAACGAUAGCUAAUACCGCAUGACAAUAGGGUACACAUGUACCCUAUUUAAAAGGGGCAAAUGCUUCACUAUGAGAUGGACCUGCGUUGUAUUAGCUAGUUGGUAAGGUAACGGCUUACCAAGGCGACGAUACAUAGCCGACCUGAGAGGGUGAUCGGCCACACUGGGACUGAGACACGGCCCAGACUCCUACGGGAGGCAGCAGUAGGGAAUCUUCGGCAAUGGGGGGAACCCUGACCGAGCAACGCCGCGUGAAGUGAAGAAGGUUUUCGGAUCGUAAAGCUCUGUUGUUAGAGAAGAACGGUAAUGGGAGUGGAAAAUCCAUUACGUGACGGUAACUAACCAGAAAGGGACGGCUAACUACGUGCCAGCAGCUGC
rnacentral:rRNA from 1 species